UCCACUUUUUUUGCGGAGCCGACCGAAUCAGUACGCUCUUAUAAAAUAAAUUUUCUCUGAUUACUUUUUGAAGAAAGAAGAAAGCUAUUUAACCAUUCCGCCCAGAAACGACAACGAACCGACCAUCUUUUGUUUUAUAUGGGCGAAUAAACGCCAUGUCAUCGUCCGUUUGAUGAUGUUCAUAAUUUCGGCAGCGAUGUCUAUGUGACUUGGAGGGUGUGGUCCCGGAGGAGAUGGUUAACUUUAUACCGCUUCAGUCUGCAGCCAUUCGAUGUACUACAAUGGAGAAACAAGUGCAUCGAGUGGCUGCUGAUGACGGACAAGAUCCUGACUUUGGAGUUGCUGGAGGAGCAUGAGAAGAAGCAGCGGCAGGCUGAUCGCAGCGAUGACGACCGGAACUCCGUACGUUCAACGAAUUCCCUGCCAACGCGCUUCAUCAAAGCUAGUAAGAUGCCGAAAAUCAGUAGUGUGCUCCAGAGAUUCCGAGAGGUGUUUCCUGCCCCCUGAAGCGGUAGCAAGGUAACCAUGUCCUCCGCAACCUCAUUAUCCAAUUCUCAUAUCGCCAUCGCUAUUGAAAUCGCAAACAUCAUCAAGCAGACGACUAUGUGGCGUUUAUUGGCCCAGAUAAAGCGAAUAAUGGUCGGUAGGGUGUUGUUAAUGGGCGGCAUGGUUAAAUAGCUUAAUUCCUUUUUCAAAAAGUAAUGAGAAAAAAUCUUUUAUCUUCCUUUCUUGUUGAAUCUGAAUCUUGUAUGUACUGAAAAAACAUCAUUUAUGGAAAUAUUUGUACUAAUUUUCAAAACAAAAUAUUAAGUUCCAAUAUCCGGAUCUAUAUAUUA